rnacentral:rRNA from 1 species
GACGAACGCUGGCGGUGUGCUUAACACAUGCAAGUCGAACGGUAAGGCCCUUUCGGGGGUACACGAGUGGGGAACGGGUGAGUAACACGUGAGUAACCUGCCCUCAUCUCUGGGAUAACAGUCGGAAACGGUUGCUAAUACUGGAUAUGAGCUUGCAAGGCAUCUUGUGGGUUGGAAAGAUUUUUUUGGUUGGGGAGGGACUCGCGGCCUAUCAGCUUGUUGGUGAGGUAGUGGCUCACCAAGGCGUCGACGGGUAGCCGGCCUGAGAGGGCGACCGGCCACAUUGGGACUGAGAUACGGCCCAAACUCCUACGGGAGGCAGCAGUGGGGAAUAUUGCCCAAUGGACGGAAGUCUGAUGCAGCAACGCCGCGUGCGGGAUGACGGCCUUCGGGUUGUAAACCGCUUUCAAUUGUGACGAAGCUUUUUGUGACGGUAGCAGUAGAAGAAGCACCGGCUAACUACGUG